AUUGAACGCUGGCGGCAUGCUUUACACAUGCAAGUCGAACGGUAACAGUCCUCAUGGUGCUGACGCUUGGCUAACGGGUGAGUAAUGCAUCCGAACGUGCCCAGCCGUGGGGUAUAACUUCUCGAAAGGGUAGCUAAUACCGCAUACGAUCUAUGGAUGAAAGCGGUGGACCGUAAGGCCUCGCGCCAUUGGGGCGGCCGCUGGCGGCUUAGGUGGUUGGUGGGGGGAUGGUUCACCACGCCAACGACCGGUAGAUGGUCGGCGAGGAGGACAGGCCACAUGGGGGGGGGGACGCGGCCAAGGGUCCUACGGGAGGCAGCAGUGGGGAAUUUUGGACAAUGGGCGCAAGCAUGAUACAGCAAGGCCGCGUGCAGGAAGAAGGCCUUCGGGUUGUAAACUGCUUUUGUACGGAACGAAACGGCUCUGGUUAAUACCAGGGGCUAAUGACGGUACCGUAAGAAUAAGCACCGGCUAACUACGUG
rnacentral:rRNA from 1 species